UCUACAAAUUUGUUGUUGCUACUCCCAUUAUUCAUUCAAUGGUCUCAUUCACACUUGAUCACAAUAAGGUGGUUCAUGACGAGUGCCCACCUACCGAAUAAAAGAAGCAAACAAGAAACUACUAAGGGGAAGGGCGACUACAUGGGCAUGCAUUAGCGGCAGAAGAUUUCGUGAAUUAUUGAAUAAACCGGAAGCUUUAUGAACUCCUUUAAGUUUUUUUCCUGUAAUGUAUGUUUUUAGACUUGGCAUACAAGUUUGUUCUUAAACACAUUCCGC